UUGGUUGACGAUCCGAUUCAAAUCUGCGUUUUCCCUCACUCAAUAAACGUUGCCAGCUCGCUUUUCUGAACAAAAUAAAAAAAAAGAAAAAAUCUGUCAUUCGCCAAAGCUCGAAGGUUGUGUGACGGGUAUUUUGAAUAGUUUCGAGUUUAGCCCGCCUUCUGACAACGUAUUAGACGAAGGCAGAUGUUGAUGAUAGUGGAAGGGCAGCUGUGAUUCAUGUUGCCUCGACCAAACCCUGUUGAUGAGCAAAGGGGAAUUGUAUUUCACCCUUGGUUGUACCACCAUGACACAGAUUUAACUUACAGGUUUCAUUCCAGGAACGUUAAUAUACACUUCAAGCAGAUAUUAAAGUAUGAACCUGAGAGCAAAGAAAAUUUUGCAAGAUUUUUUAUAUAACAGUACUGAGCACUGGUGAAGGUGAAGGUUUGAAUGUGAUGUGGACUGAAUGUCUUCAGAACAGUACUGAUUUUGAGGCUGGACAUUUAGCACAUUCCGUAAAUGUGUAUGGACAUUCAUGCUAUGGCAGCCAACCCUUGGGACAUCCAUUAUAUUAAAAGUGUAGCAAAGCAUAUCUAGAAGAGUGGGGACCUUAUGCUUUUAGACAACAAAUAGGCUUACCUUCAAAUGUUUAUAUUGUGUGAUAUUUAAUACAUAAAUACAAUGCGUGAUAAUUUUGCUUUUUAAAUGUACUUCAGUGAAUACAUGUGUAUGAUACCAUGUAUUUGUUGUGCAUGUUUAUAUGAUACCAUGUAUUUGUUGUGUAUGUUUAUAUCAUACCAUGUAUUUAUUGUGUUCGUUUCUAUUAUAACAUGAACUUAUUAUGUGUUUAUAUCACGUAUCAUACCAUGAAUCCAUUUUCUUAUAUUUGUUUGUCGUUGUUCAGUUUCUUUACAAUAUAAAUAUUAUUUAAGCGGCU
rnacentral:lncRNA from 1 species